AAAUGGCUUACAGAACGUAGAAAUGAUACUGAUUUUUAAAGGAAAUUAACGAAAUUUAUAUUAAAUGGAAAUAUGAAAUAGGAUGAAUAUAUUUAUAUUCAAAAAAUAGUGCAAUGUGUUUAUUUGUCAAUUCUCUUUUUAAUCGUCAUAUCGUUAAUUAAGUGAAAUAAUCAAUUAUAUUCGUAGGACAUAUAUCAGUUGUCCUAUUUUUUAUUUUUCGUUUUAUAUUGAUCGCAAGUUUAAAAACUUUAAAAAUGUAUUUCUUUGACUUUUAAUCGAGUCAUUGGAAGUUGAAUUGCAAUACAUAUUUUGAAUGAAAAUUAUAUGGACUAAUAGUAAGGAUAGUAACAAUUUUAAUUGUGUGUGAAUUUAAAAAAAUACAUAUUUUUAUUUAUUCAAUUAAAUUUCUAGAAUAAUCAAUAUGGUAUCAUUUCCACCUAUUAAUUUAAUAGAUUCUGUAAUAGAUGAAGUGGCAUUGGAAGGUUUGGAUGGUAUUACUUUAGAAGCUUUAUGGUUACGUUUGGCACAUAGAUUUAACGAUCCUUUACCAUUUUCACAAGCAUUUAUGAUCCAAAUAUGGUCUAUAUGUGUGAAAGUUAAAGAAUUUACAUUUUACAAAUUAGAAGUGCCAAGAAAAACACUUGUUAUAUUUGAUCGUUAUGAGUUUGUAGAUCCAGAUCUUGGUAUUAUACUUGAGCCAGAUGAUGUUCCAGAAGAUAUUUAUCCUCAUUGUCCCAUAUAUGAUCAAGCUGCUGGAGUUAAGGGUUCUUGUUCGACAUAUUAUACUCGCAAAGUUAUUAUUGCCGAUAUCAGAAAUUAUACUUUAGAGCAGGCGAUAACAGAAUAUGGUCAAAGAUUGGUGAUUGUUGCAUCUCAAUAUGCAAGAGAGCAUGCAUUAAUGGGCGAUAACAUAUGUCCUACAUUGGAAUUAAGUAUCAUGCAUUAUUGUUUUCUUGAAAGAGUUGGAAGAUCACGUUAUCAUGGAGAAGUGACACAGGGAAAACUUAGUCUUAGCUUACUGAAAGAGGAUCCUAGAACCUUGUUUUAUCAUAGGAAAUUCUUACUUCGUCACAAAUUGAUAACAAAACAGAUGCAUCAUCAAAAAAGUUCAGGCCACAGUUGUAGUGGUAGCUUAAUACAUCUACCACGAUUCUUUGUAGAAAGAAAACCAAAAAUCAUUUUCUUGGCUGAACAAGUAAUUGAAAUACUUAAGAUGAAAGAGAAUUAUAUCGCUGAAUAUGAAGAAAUAAAGAAGAAAUUGCAAAUUGAAAAUUCUAUACAAAAAUUAGUUAAAACAUCUUUUUUUCAAAAAGUAGUGAAAACAGAUCUGAAGGUACCAUAUAGAACUCUAUAUCCAAAUGCAGAACCUAAAGAAUGGCAACGGAAGAAUGAUCCGACAAAGGAAAAAAUGAUAAGGGUAAUACAACUGGUGACUCCUGACAUUGAUAUUGCUGAACUAUGGAACAAAGAUGAAAUACACGAAGAUGAAGAACAAUUUGAGUUAGAUAUUUCUGAUCAUAAAUACAAUGUUCCCUAUCUCAAGCAAGCUAAUAACGUAAUCGAAGAGAGCAAUAGUGAUGGUGUUUCCCAAGGAAACUUAACUAAAAAUAUGGGUUUAACAAAAUUACAAUGUAGAACUAUAUUACGUAAUUUAGUGAAAGUAAAUAUUGUAGCGACAUACAUGAAUGAUGCUGGUAGGCAAAGAGUAACGAAAUAUGUAUCUAAAAAGUUUGAGAAAAGUAGCAUGAUGAGUAAGCAAUUUCAAAAAGAAAUAUAUAAAAUUAAAGAACUUACAAAACAGAUCUCAAAUAAGAACGAUAAGACUAUACCAAAGCAAGAGAAAAAAGAAAGUAAUGAACUUUAUACGCAUCAAGUUAAAACCAUAGAGAAAGCAAAUUAUCCCGCAGUUAUUGAUAAUAAUAUAAUUGAACGUUCUCAUAAUGAAGAGCAAAAACGUUGUAUUAACAUUGAUGAAUUAAGGAAAGUAUUUCAUAUUGUCAGUAAAAUAUUUUGGAAAUAUCGUAUAACAAAAUCUCAAACCAGAUACAAAUGUACAUUCAUGAAUAUAUCGGAAAAAAUUGCGAACUUAAAAUGUUUAAAGGAGCAAAGACAUAAAGAGAAGGCAAUAAUACAAGGUGACGAAAAAAGGAAAACAGAUGAGACUAAAGAUGGCUUUGAACAUUCCACAGCUAUAUCUAAAAUUUCAGAUAAUCUUAAAGCUGUAUCGAUAUAUAAGAGUAUACAAACAAAUUUGGUCGCGCAAAAUCCGACGCGAACUGGAAAACCAGUUAAUGAAAUAUUUGGUUUCAUGGAGGAUGUUGAAAAUAGUGAGAAAAAGGGUAUAUCUAAUAUUACUUAUAGAUUACUAAGGCGAGCAAAUAUGAUUAUUGAGUCUGUUAAGGAGCAUCAAGUUAUCGAUGAUAUGACUAAGCUAAUGAAGAUGAUAAAUGGUGAAGAAGAUAAGGAAGGUUAUGAUGUGAAGAUAGACAAAAAAUCUUUGAUCAGGUUAUUGCAGAAAUUGGCCAAAGAUAAUUUGGUAAAAAAUAUAAAAUUAACCCUUAGCGCCAACGGUAGAGAAAAACAUUUAACUUUUAUAUGCGAUCCCAAUAUUGAUACAGAUCACACAGUAAUAAAGUCGGCUGUAGAGCAAGCAAAGGUUAAAUUUUGUUUAUUGGGAUCGCAAAAAAAUAAAGGGAAUCCCAAAAAUAAUAUAGAUAAGACACGUUUACAUAAUUUGGACAAUACAAACAAAACUGAUAAAAGGCCUAAAAGACUAUCAGCAAUACCAACUACUUCCAAAUAUGAUCCAAAAGCAGCUCGAAGACUUGGAUACAGUCCUAAAUUUGUUCGUAUGCAAGCACUUCAUGUUCUUUUAUAUUAUUUAGUUUAUGAACAUCCUGGAGAGGAAACACUUUCCAAAAAUGAACAAAUACAACUGUUGCGGGCUAAUGAUUUUAGUAUUACCGACAGUUUGGCUCAAGAAAUGAGUAAAAUUUAUACCACAGAAGUAGGAUGGAAGAUGUUUAUGCCACCUUUACCAAAACAUAAUGGUUGGCCAAAAGGUUGGACUUUAAUGUGCGAUGUUCUGUUACGCAUUCCUCUAUCGAUUUUUUUGAAAGUCCACAGUGUCCCAUUUAUUAUAUCAGGCUUGGAAUAUUAUACAAAUCAUCCUAUUAGAAAACACUAUUUAGUGAAAGAUCUUCCAAUUAAUAUUCGUAAUACUUUAUUACAUGCACGAAAGUAUAUAUUUGAUAUUCAUGAAACCAUGACUAGAUUAUGUUAUAUUGGACUGAUACAAUUUGGACCGCAGAAAUUAAAAGAAAAAGAUCAAGUAUUUCUUUAUGUAAAUCGUCGAAGCGAAUUGAUGGAUACAACUUCAUCCGCACCUGGAUAUCACAAAAUUGAAGAAAAAACAUACCCCGUAACUAAAUAUAAUUUCAAUGAAAUGUAUAUAGUUGAAAAAUAUUGGUACGAUAUGUGGAAUAUAUGCGUUAAUACUCCUUUAGGGGGUAGACUUGUGGUUCAGGGUAAAGAUAUAUUAUUGGAGGAUUUAAGUAAAAAGAGCGAUAUGAUACAAACAAUAGUACCUCGUUCUGCCGAAGAAGCUAUACAAUUAGAUACUGGUAAAGUACCUGGGGAUCAUAAAGGUGCAGCUGGUAUCGAUUCCGCAUUUUUCGCACACUUGAAACGUAAUUGGAAUUGGAAUAGUAAUUUUAUGACACGUCAUCAACCAACGAAAAAUCAAGAAAAUAAAAAUAUGACGUGUAAGAGAGAUGCUUAUUUAUCAACAAUAAAAGCGGCGCCUGUCAAAUUCACCGAAUUUUCUGGAUUAAAGAAAGUAUCAGGGCCUACUAUUGUAACUGCUACUGAUUUGAAAAAGAAGUCGCAAUCGAGCAAAAUUUCUGAAAUUUCAAAUAAAUCCAUAAAGCAUGAAACAUAUACAACAUUUCGUAGAUCAAAACAGAAAUCAUUUAUAAGACGAGUUUUACCUAAGAAGGGUAGAAAAUCACGGGUAAAAUAUGAUGAAAUUGAUUAUCGUGCGCUUCAACUAAUGCACAAAUUGCGUGUUGAUUGGCAACCACACGAAGAUAAUAUAUUACUUGUAUGUAAAGUUGCCAUGAUGUAUUUGUGCCCGAAUUCUCGAAAACAAGUGGUAACAUUUAAUAUGGUCAGAGAUGUUUUACGCUCUUAUUCUCUUAGCUCUUAUAACAAAACAUCCCGUGCUUGUCAAAGAAGACUUUUAUAUAUGCUUAGACAGCCACAGACAGUUAAUAGCGUGACUUUAGGUGUAGAAGAGAUAAGACAAAAUUUCUUCAUUAAUAAACGAUUUGGUGAUAUUAUAGAAAAGAUUAAAGAAGAAUGUUCGAAUUCUUGCGCAUAUGAAAAACGCAUAGCUGAAAUAUUUAAAAAUCUUGUUGAUUACGUCGCCAAAAAAUAUUACGAUAUUUCAGAAAUGGGGCCAAACGAACCUAUCAUUGUACCCAAAACAGUACAAGAGUUUAAUAUAUUUUAUAAAGUGGUAUACCCCACUAAAUCAUUUAAUCCAGGCUUUGUUAAGGAUAUUCGAUGUAUUAAUGAUAUACAUUCUGCCACAAUUAAUUCUGUUAUUCAUAGUUCAAUGUGUUCCGGAAAAGAUAAAAGAUCUUGGGCAUAUCAGUUAUUCAAAGUAUAUCAACAAUAUCCAGAGGUUCUUUUGCGAAAUGCUAUGGCCAAAAUUAGAGCCGAUCAAAUGGUUACAAUUAAAAAAAAUGAUAUGUGUUUAACAAAGAAGUAUGCCAAUUAUAUGCCAAUGAGCAGUUCACAGUUUCAGUUCAGUACCAAUUAUAUUUACAAGUUCCAAAAUAAAUGGCCAUAUGAUUUAUAUAAGGAAUCAUAUGAUGCUUUCUUCAAACUUAUUCAAUGGUAUUCUAAAUCAGAGAAAAAUAACGCUUUUGAAAAUGUUCCUUCUUCCGAUGGUAUUGAAAUUAUUCCAGUUACUGGCGGGGUUGUCGCCAUGAUACAUGAUUUUAUGGCACAGGAUAAGCUCGAUUUUGAUAUUGCAAUACCAGAUCAAGUAAUUACUUUAGAUCAGAGAUUAACAGAAAAAGAUGAAACUUACUUUAGAAUUGCGCAAAGAUAUAAAGAUAUUUUAGAUGGUUUAGAUUAUUUUAAAGACACUUCAAAUAAAAGGAAGAAUUUUAUAGAUAGCAUCAAUAAAAUUUCAAUAUUUGAAGGAGACACAAUUGUUGAACAUAGCGCUAAUGAGUCGUCCAGUCUUGAAGAAGCAAUAAAUAACGAUGUUGACGACGGGCACAAUUCUGAUACCGAAGGAAAAAGAAAAAUUGCCAAGUAUGAUUACUCUGGAUUAGAUAAUUUUACGAAGUCAUGUUUUCAUGAUUUACACACUGAAGAUCUAAAUACGAAAGAACUAAAUGAAGAAAAUAAUGCAACAAAUUUUCAAAAUAUAACUAAGACCAUGUUAAAUAAUACAGAUGGACAAAAGUUAGAUAAAACUUUGGAGAAUUUUGAUGAUUUAACGGACUCCUCAUCUGAUAUGGUUAUAGAUAAAGAAAAAUCACAAAGGAAAUGUUUAAAGAAAAAAUUGUAUACCGAUAAUCGUGAAAUAGAUUCGAUGGAGCCAACUUCAAAGAAAGCCAAAAUGAAUGAUGAUAAUCAAUAUAGCGUAUUAAAUUCAUCUAACGACGUUACACAAAGUAAUAUUCAAACGGAUUCAAAUAAGUGCCAAGUUAAUUUUGAUGAAAAAAUUUUUAAGAGUGCAACUUUAUUAAGUUCAGAGCCUUUGAAUGAAAAUUCAGUUGAAAGCUCUAAAUCUGCAGAAAAUGAAAGUAUAAUUUCAGAAAAUGCAAGUCAAAAUAAUACUGAAUAUAAAAAGACACAUGAUAAUGCAUUUACUCGUGUAAGUAAUAUAAUACGUAGUACAUCUGAAGAUAAAAAUUGUGCGAAUGCAAAUCCUAAACUUGAUGACACAAAUGACGUUCAGAAACGAUAUACAAGAUUAGCUCUUUUGAAAAUAAGAGAGGAACUGAAUGAACUAUCAGUAACUGAUAGUCAUCAUGCUCACGAAUAUUUUGUCGUUAAUAUGUUUAAAAUUUUUUACUACUUAGAAUCAUCAAAAGCACAAUAUUCUGAGAAUUAUGAAAACUUUAAAAGCUAUUCUGUACCGUCUGAUGUAUUACCUUUAAAAUUAAAGACUGCUUCUGAAAUUAUAAACGAAUUAAAUAAAUUUGCAAUUUUUCCAAAAAAUAAUACUUUAUAUGCUGAUUUCAAGAAAGAUAUGCAAGGAAAAGUAUUAUAUGACUGGAUGAAAAUUGAUGCUAUAUAUAAAUUUGUGAGAGAAAAGAAAGAAAUAGGAGCUAGUUCGGAAGAACUGAUGCAAAAAUUUCGAAAGGACUUUGGAAAAGAUCUAUAUAAUAUAGUUUCUCUUUUAAUUGAAAAUUAUUUGUUUUUACAUUCUGGUGUAACUACACCUCGAUAUAUACAUCACCAUUAUGCAAAUCCUUGGUUGAUACAUUCUUAUAAGAUUUUUCGUUUAGAAAGAGAAUCACUUUUACCAAUACCUAAAGGUACUAUAUACUUAACAGAAAGUGAAACUGUUGGUGAAAUUAAUAGUGAUGAUAAUAAAGAUAAUGAUAUUGAUCAUAAUAAAAAUUCAUUGGAAUCAUCGAUAUGCGAAGAUGUAACAAUGAUUAAUAACUUUGAAAAGGAAGAAAAAGAAGAAAAAACGUCUUUAAUUGAUAGUGGUACUACAGAUCAAAAUGCUACAAUUAUAGGUCUCUCCGGUGAGAGUGAAAAGGAAGAAAAUAUAUGUGCUGCAAAAAGAUUACAGAGAAAGAGAAUAUCUUUGCUUCCACAAAAGGAUGUAUAUACGUCUGCCAAAAGAUUAGAUCUUACUACUGCUGAGGAAAUAAGGGUAGUCAUGAAACCAUGGAUUCGCAUAGAUGGCGUUUUAAAUCGUAGAGUACUGGAUCGCAUGUUGGGAGCAGUUUUAACAUAUUGUUUAACACAUCCUGGUGUUAUAUUAGCCAAAGUACAAAAUAGAUUUAGUCCAGCUUUACAACCGUUCCACACUCGUGAAUUGGUUGAGAUACUAGUUAAGUUAGGCUGUUUAGAAAAAAAAUUGUUGAAAAAACAACAUGUGACUUUGUUUUCAAAGCCUGCAUCUAUUAAACCAAAAACGGACGAGGAGUGGGCGAACGAAGAAGAGAUAUUUAUAGAGCCUUUGAUGGGAGCGAUAAUAAAAUUUAGUAUAUUUUUAAGUACUAAGAUGUAUAAUUCGGAUUUUAUUCCAUAACGAUAAUAUAAAUGUUACCGAGAUAAAUAAGAUAUAAUCUGAGCUAGAGUUAUUGCGAAUGUCGUGUUUCGUUUCAUAUACGAAACAGCCUUACUAGUCAACAAACGUGGAAGCGCUAGUGUGCCUGAUGAAAAAUAUUCUUUCGUCGGGAUAUUUCAAAUGUCUCCAUGCCGAAUAUUAUAUUUUCAUACUAUUAAUAUCCGGAAGUGCAUGUAACAAUAAUCUAAUAUCGUUACGUACUCAGGUAUCGUAUAGGUAUCUUCGUACAUUGACAAAAAAAGAUAUAUAUACACCGUAUAACCGCAUUGCAUCGUCAGCGUCACGAGGUGUUGCAAUUCUUCGAGGCAGCUGUAGAUCGAUGUAGGGGCAGUAAAUUGGAUCAGGUGAAGAGAGUAUUGCUUAACUGUAGUAUGAGCGCACAUCUUUCGACGCAAGUCCUGCAACACUUUCACACAUCAAGUAGAAGUGGUGAAACGCUUUGGACAUGCGGGUAAAUUUAACCGAUGAAUUCCGCAUUUUAACUGACAGAAAACGGAUCUUCGAAUAAUGAUUUGCGUGACCCUUGGGUAUGACCUUUUUCAUUUAUAUGUAGUUAUCAGAAGGAAAUAAUAUAAUUUCUAUCGAUCAAUAUAUUCAAAAAAGAAAUGGAAUUUCCUUUAAACUGGCGUCUGUAUAAUUUUUAAUAGGAUAUUGUACUAAUUAGGACAAAAGUACAGUAUGACCCAAUGAAAUGCUAACACGGAAUAUAGAUAUGUAAAUAUAUAAAAAAUCAUUCAUGUAGAUAAAAAUAAUGAUUCAUAGAUAAACAAGUAUUAAACCUAUUACAAAAACCAACGAAUCCUACUAUUCCACGCUUAUACAGUCGAUGAAAGUACUGUUACAAUAAAUCCAUGACGCAACUUUGCAUAAUAUAUCCCUAUCUCGUGCAGCAUCCUACAUUGCCACCAACCAUGAGCGCACUGAUUGCAUAAAAACAUUGCAUAUAAAGAGGGGACGGACAUAGGUACAUGCUUGAGAGCAUCGUCUCGACAAUGAUAACACUCGAAGCGAUCUGAUUUAUAAUAAUCGAAGAAAACGGAAGAAAAAGAAGUAGUAGAAGAAGAAAUCUUGCUUGUUAGCACAUCGAGCUUCGAUGUUUCUUUUCUGUUACCGCAUUCGACACGCAUCGAGUUCAUCCUCCUCUUUAAUGAUCUCUAAAAUCGAAAGUAGGUGACUUGGAUCUUAUAGUUAACAGUCGAACCAUUUCAAUUGGACGUACAUCUAUUUUAUGAAAGUGAAUCCUUCUUGCGUAUGGUCCAUAGAGUUAAAGGUCAUCAUCUCUUGUGAAAUAAUUCCUCACGACACAAGGAAGACCUUCGUUGCCAAAAAUGAUUUAACCCUUGAACGAUCUAUUAGCCAUAAGCGUAUGAUGAAGAUAUUGUAAGUCCAUCCAGGAUAUUGAAUUCAAUGAGGCCUUCGUCAAGCUUCCUUUUCUUAUAAUUAU